AGUGAACGCUGGCGGUAUGCCUAACACAUGCAAGUCGAACGGCAGCACAGUAAGAGCUUGCUCUUACGGGUGUCGAGUGGCGGACGGUUGAGUAAUACAUCGGAAUCUACUUUUUCGUGGGUGAUAACGUAGGGAAACUUACUCUAAUACCGCAUACGACCUACUUGUGUAAGCAGGGGUUCUUCUGACCUUUCGCGAUUGUAUGAGCCGAUGUCGGAUUAGCUAGUUGGCUGGGUAAAGGCCCACCAAGGCGACGAUCCGUAUCUGGUCUGAGAGGAUGAGCAGACAGACGGGAACAGAGAAACGGUAGAGACUACUACGGGAGGAAGCAGUGGGGAAUAUUGGACAAUGGGGGAAAGAAGGAUACAGCAAAACCGAGUGGGUGAAGAAGGAGUUAGGGUGGGAAAGACAUUUUGUUGGGAAAGAAAAGAAGCAGGUUAAUACCGGGCGGUAAUGACGGUACCCAAAGAAUAAGCACCGGCUAACUUCGUG
rnacentral:rRNA from 1 species